rnacentral:rRNA from 1 species
CAGUAGCCGCGGUAAUGCGAAGGGUGCAAGCGUUAAUCGGAAUUACUGGGCGUAAAGCGUGCGUAGGCGGUUUGUUAAGUCUGUUGUGAAAUCCCCGGGCUCAACCUGGGAAUGGCAAUGGAUACUGGCAAGCUAGAGUGUGUCAGAGGAUGGUGGAAUUCCCGGUGUAGCGGUGAAAUGCGUAGAGAUCGGGAGGAACAUCAGUGGCGAAGGCGGCCAUCUGGGACAACACUGACGCUGAGGCACGAAAGCGUGGGGAGCAAACAGGAUUAAAUACCCCGGUAGUCCCUGUCUCUUAUAC